UGAAGUCUGACUUUGAGGUAGUAUUGACCUUUUAUAAGUCCCUGUGAAAUGCAAGGUCUGAUGCUUUGGGAAAGCACACAGUCAAAUAUUUUUUUCUCUUUAAUUGAUACCACUUAAAAAUUCAUGCAAGGGCUGGAACAUUAAUUGCCAAUUAUUUUCACAGGUGGGUUCUCCACUCUGUCUGUUGCCAGCUCCGUGGACAGGUGAGGGCAUGGGUACAGUGUUCAGUCUUCUCCUGUCCACAAUGGCUGGGUUUUCCU
rnacentral:lncRNA from 10 species